ACAUCCGGCCUAAAACAUGCUGUAGCCUGAGGCGUGCGAUCAUGAAUCCUCAGAUACUGAUCUUCAGAUGUUGACUGGUCUAAACUGUGUUUGUAAAUUUACCAGAGCUAAAUUGUUCUGUGUGGAAAAACCUCCAUGUAAUAAGAGUAAAGAAACUGAAUUGGCUUAAAGGAUUAAAAGGAAUGUCUCCAUGGUUGGUUUUGUUUCAGAUAAUUUGAUACCCCUUCUUUUAGCUAACAGCUAACUGGUUAGCUCGUCUUAGGUUUGAAAAUCAGCCAGCAGUAAAAUAUCUGCCAAUCACUUCCCGAUAAAGUUACUUCAGACAUGUUUUGUUUCUUUAGCUAAAUGGUUGAGAGGAAAGAAAUGUAUUUAUCGGCCUGUUGACUGAAACUUUCUUGGGCCUUUAACCAGAAUCACCUUCAACUUCAGGUGAUCUGGCUGAAAAGGGAACCUGAACGAUCCAGAAUCUUUGCCACAGCAACAGAUCACAGGACGAGCCAACGACAACAAACCCACCUCCAGCUUGAACGUUUGAAGACGCCACAGUUUUCUUCGUUGCUACUCUCUAGUGCGUUUCGUCUUGUGCCAUGGAAAGCUCUGUCCCCCUGUCAUUACAACCGAGGGGCAUCGACUACAGCCUGCCGACCUGCGGUGACGAGCAUUGCAACAGCCACGGGAAAUGUGUGGUUGCUCCAGUCGGGGAUACGGGUUGGAUUUGUGAAUGUAAUCUGGGCUACGACGGGGAGUCUUGCGAAACAACUGUCAACGGGCACUUGAGUGUACCGCUGACCAUAAGCAUAAUCGCCGUCAUCAUCGGGCUGUUGGUCCUCGCUUUUGUCUUGGCCAAGGUGCGACAAAGACAAAAGAGGAACAGGAGAAAAAAACUGGCUGAGAAACAAGGGUACAACAUACCUGUUUAAUGUGGAUGAAUAUCAAACAUGACUAAGGUAAACAUCUUGGAUAAAUACGCCCCUGUGCUCCUGGUUGUUUCGGUGUGACCCUUGGAAAAGGAAAGCGGAUCUGCAUUAUUACUUGAUAAUUGAUCACUGCAACUGACUUUGUGCUGCACCACCCUAAAGACACACACUGAAUCUACUGAAGCCCCUUGAGCCUGUUUUUCUUUGUCCACCUGACUCUCUACACACAGCCUAUCCUUGGCAGGACAAAUGCUACCAAUAAUGUUAUGUUCAAUUUUGUCACAGUCUUCCUUCACUGACGUUAUGGUCCACAUGAACUUACUCUUUCACAUUUGUUUCAGGCAAAGACUUCUUGCACAAUAAUGCAAAUGUUCAUCCACUAUUCUUUUUCUUCAAGAAGACAUUGCUGUCAUGAGAACCAACAUAAUAGAUCUAAGUUGUUGGCAAAGAUUUAUUUUAGAACAAAGGAUUUUUUUUUUUCAUAUAUUUAUACCAACAAUAUAUAUAAUUUACCCAUUGUUUUUUUUUUUUUAUUUUAUAGUUUUAUGUUGCCAAUAUUUUUUUGCACUAUAUAGUUCAGCAUUUAAUGUCGUUUGACCUGUUGUGAAAUCUAAAAUAAGAACAAAUUUAUUGUUUAAAAAUGUCCUAACACAAAAUACGUUAUACCUCGCUGAAUUUUUUUUAAACGUUUUUCCUGUUGCAUGGCUGAUGCAAUGUCAUAAUUCAGCAUCAGUUUGAGCUUGAGCAAAAGGCGCCACGGUGUUUGGUCAGAAGUUGGUCCAACUGUUCAAUGUCAGUCUAAGGGGUUUUCUUUGUAUUGAUUCUUUUUUUUUCUUUUCUUUUUUGCGCUCUACUGACUGACAUUUUUUAUAUCCAACUAUAAUCCCAACUAUUUUAAAAGAAAGUUUGUGUAAUUUUUAUGUAGUGUUCUGCGGAGCAUUUAUUUGCUGUCAGUGUCCAACCCAAACUUUGAGCCAUUAAAAUGUUUUAUUUUAACGGGCAAUUAUUACUUUUGUAGGGAAGAUGCUGGCGGCUCACAAUCCCUCCGCAGAACCACUAGAUCAAAGAUUCACAUUAACCCCUUUUUAAUAGUUUUAUCAUAUACAAAGUGCAGCACCAGUAAAGCAAAGGCUCUGUAUAUGUAUCGAAGACAUUAGCUAUGUAGGUUAUGUUUAAAUAUUAGCAUUUUUGUACAUAAAUGGACUAUGAAUGUUAAGCAGAUUAUUUGUAGAUGUCUGCUUUAAUAGUCUCCCAGUGGAUGACUAAAAUAUUGAGAUGCUGCAGUCUGGUAGAUUCUUAUAGAAGAGGACUUGUUUUCAGUCACCAGACAAAGUUGUAGGUCACCUUUACUGAGCACAAGGCUGACUAACAAUCUUUCCAACAAAGCCAAACAAUAUCUUCGUUUCUCUGAUUUUAAUGUUAUCCGGUCAACAUGUUUUUUUUUUCUAAUCUCCGCCCCUUGUGUAGCCUGGAAUUUUCAUAUAAAAUACAGUAUAUUUUAACAGAAUGAUUAUACCUUCAUUUCUUAAUAGGUAAUCCUUGUUUCUGAGGGUUUGUGUUUAAUAUUCAUCCAUGUAUGAGAAAUGCAGUAACCUUUUAAAGUGCUUUUUGAUACUCACUUUUCUAGUAAGUUGGCUAAAUCAACAUUUUUAAGUGCACAGUAUAGCAUUUUCUUGUCCUUGUUGUAUUCUAAUAAAAUGUAGAAAACA